UAUUGCUGGUAGCAUUCUCUUUUGGUUGGCCAAUGCUGUUGGUAAACAUGACUAACAGGCUGCAGUAUCAUUGUAUGUACUGUUGCCAAGAUAGUAGACAAUGAUAGUGAGGCUGACCAGAACUCUCAAUGAUUCGUGGAGACUUAAGGGAAUAAACUUGCCUUUUCUCAGUUUUCUGAGUGUGUGUAAAAUUGUUAGUGGCUACCACUUUCUGAUUAACCUUUGGUUUUCUCUGUCCUUGAGAUGAAUUCUUUCCCUGUUAGCUUUUACACCCCAAAUAGAUAAUAAUCCCCUAGAAUUCCUGUUUUACUGGUUCUUUAGGUCUGUCAAGAUCAUAGACACUUGCCAGAUAUAUGAAGAAGGAUAUAUGAAGCCUAUGAGAAGCCAAGGCACAACCAGCAGAGAAUGAUUACCGAACUUUCUACUCUAAAUAAAGUAAGCUUUUAUUGUUGAACUCCAAACUCAGAACAAACUCUAUCACAACAUCAAAGUCCCGACUGAUAAUUUUGUUAUUAUUAGCAUUGCUAAUGUUUCUGGAUGUCUUUUCAUUUUCUGUUGACCAGAGCAUUUAUUAUUAUAUUCCCUGUUGGGUAGCUUACAAUCUUUUUUUUGGUGGUAUAUAUUUCUAUAAUAUUUUUAAUAAUUACAUUUGAUAUGGAAUCUCCUAAGUGAAUACAGUGGAGGACAAAUAAUUGAAGACUGAGAGAUGCAAAAAUAUUAAUAUCAAAAAUUGCAAAGACCACUGAGAUGUAAGGAAACCUUGGAAUGGGCCCGACAGCUGGAGGCUCUUCCGUGAAACAUCUGGAACCAGUGACUCAGAUGCUGUCACAUCCACAGCCCUCACUCAAGCCUCGGGACAGCCGCGG
rnacentral:lncRNA from 1 species